rnacentral:rRNA from 1 species
AUUAAACUGAAGAGUUUGAUCAUGGCUCAGAUUGAACGCUGGCGGCAUGCCUAACACAUGCAAGUCGAACGAUGAUUACUAGCUUGCUAGUAUGAUUAGUGGCGGACGGGUGAGUAAUAUAUAGGGAUCUGCCUGUUAGUGGGGGACAACAGCCGGAAACGGCUGCUAAUACCGCAUACGCUCUACGGAGGAAAG